AGCCCGCCGGAGCCGGAGCCGCAGCCUGAGCCUGAGCCUGAGCACGAGAAGGAGAAGAUGGUGCAGGAACACGAGGAAGGCGAGGCUUCCGAUAGCGUGUCGGUGGGUUCCUCCGUGGUGGACAAGGCGAUGGUAAAGGCUGGAAGGGAGCAGGAAGUGGAGAAGAGGACGGUGGACGUGCCGGAGAAGGGGAGGGCCAGGAGGAUGGAACCGGAGCAGAAGAAGAAAUGCAAGGACGCCGGCAACGGCAGGGCGCGGUCGCCGUCCCCUGCGGCGAAGCAGAGGAGGCCUGGGACCAUUGUCAGCGAGCAGCCGGUGCCGCCGCGGCCGCGGCGAGAGUCGCCUGCGAUGGCGCUGCCGUCGUCUGCCAAGCGCUCCCUCAACACAAACAUCAACUGUAACGGAGGGAGCGGCGUCAGGCGGGACCCUGGCGAGCAUUCUGGCAGGAGGUCAGAUUCCCCGGCUAGGCGCCCGCCGGCCUCUCCGGCAGCGAACGGCACCAUCAGCCGGCAAUCGAGCGCCACCCGGAAGGGUCCGAAGGAGAACACCAGUUCGGAGAAAACCAAGCACCAAUGCGGCCGCGGACGGGCCCCGAUGGAGGUUGGAGAUGAACUCGACGAGGCGCCAUUGGCAGGAAAAGAGCGCAGGGAGGCGGCGGACGCCGCGAUGGGCCAGAACCCCUCGGUGGCUAUGGAGUGCUUCAUCUUCCUUUAG
rnacentral:rRNA from 1 species